GAACGCGAAGAACCUUACCAGGUCUUGACAUCCCUCUGACCGCUCUAGAGAUAGAGUUUUCCUUCGGGACAGAGGUGACAGGUGGUGCAUGGUUGUCGUCAGCUCGUGUCGUGAGAUGUUGGGUUAAGUCCCGCAACGAGCGCAACCCUUUUCCUUACUUGCCAGCAUUUCGGAUGGGAACUUUAAGGAUACUGCCAGUGACAAACUGGAGGAAGGCGGGGACGACGUCAAGUCAUCAUGGCCCUUACGGCCAGGGCUACACACGUGCUACAAUGGUCGGUACAAAGGGUUGCUACACAGCGAUGUGAUGCUAAUCUCAAAAAGCCGAUCGUAGUCCGGAUCGCAGUCUGCAACUCGACUGCGUGAAGUCGGAAUCGCUAGUAAUCGCGGAUCAGAAUGCCGCGGUGAAUACGUUCCCGGGUCUUGUACACACC
rnacentral:rRNA from 1 species